AAGAAAUGAAAACAGGCUUUUUGCUCAGUUGAGUGAUUUUGAGCAAAAAGCUUAUUUACAUUUCUG
ensembl:miRNA